AUUGAACGCUGGCGGAAUGCUUUACACAUGCAAGUCGAACGGUAGAGGGGGCAACCCCUCAAGAGUGGCGAACGGGUGAGUAAUAUAUCGGAACGUGCCCAGUCGUGGGGGAUAACGUAGCGAAAGUUACGCUAAUACCGCAUACGAUCUAAGGAUGAAAGCGGGGGAUCGCAAGACCUCGCGCGAUUGGAGCGGCCGAUAUCAGAUUAGGUAGUUGGUGGGGUAAAGGCUCACCAAGCCAACGAUCUGUAGCUGGUCUGAGAGGAUGACCAGCCACACUGGAACUGAGACACGGUCCAGACUCCUACGGGAGGCAGCAGUGGGGAAUUUUGGACAAUGGACGCAAGUCUGAUCCAGCCAUUCCGCGUGCAGGAUGAAGGCCCUCGGGUUGUAAACUGCUUUUGUACGGAACGAAAAGGUCUCUCUUAAUACGGGGGGCUCAUGACGGUACCGUAAGAAUAAGCACCGGCUAACUACGUGCCAGCCGCCGCGGUAA
rnacentral:rRNA from 1 species